AAAUGAUGAAAUCACCAGAACUAGCUGGAAUUACCGCAGAUUGGUAGUGGUGAACCUACGGUUUUCUGAAG
rnacentral:snoRNA from 1 species